GCUCUGCAUUAGAUGGAUGGCUUCCUGUCACAGUCCAGCCUCCCGAAGAGAAACAAGGAGUUUUGGCUGAUUCAUGAUGACAGUCUUUUCUCAACUCCUCUGAAUGGCACAUAGGAAGGGACCUUGUAAUCCAAGAGCAGUUACUGGAAUCACGGUCUCUCGCGAUGGAUCUUCAGUAUUCACAACAUCCCAAGAUUCCACCUUGAAGAUGUUUUCUAAAGAAUCAAAAAUGCUACAAAGAAGUAUAUCAUUUUCAAAUAUGGCUUUAUCAUCUUGUUUACUUUUACCAGGAGAUGCCACUGUCAUAACUUCUUCAUGGGAUAAUAAUGUGUAUGUAUCUGUGUACCCUGCUCUGUGAUUCCACGUGCAGAAUAGCUGCCUCUGUGGACAUGAGGUGUGAAAAGCCAGAAGCUUUCCCUGCCAGGACACAGCACUAUUUUCUAAAGGGAACAGAUAUUAGAGAUGAGGACAGUAUGGUUGGAUUUGAAUAUGAUUACUUGGAUUGAAUAAUUUCUCCAAUUGGAGUCUGUUUUUCUCUAAGUUUUAAAUUGAGGUGAAAACACAGAUGAGCCAGACAUGGAAAUUUC
rnacentral:sRNA from 1 species